CCCAUUUCCCAAUUAAUCAUGGCAUUGCAUGUUACUUACUUAGGCAUCCAACAGUGUUGAUUGGGUACCUUUCACUCUUCAUCUUUAAUUCAUUCCUGCAAGGCUCCAUGCAUGCCCUGAUGAGCUGAGCUGAGCAACGACAGUCGGCAGCGCCUUCACACUGGCCAUUGCAUGCAUCAGAUAUUCAGAGUUCAGACUCCUCUCUCUCUCUCUCCAAUACAAUUCUGAACAUGAUGCAUGCCAGGCUGGUAGAGAGAGAGAGAGAGAGAGAGAGAGAGAGAGAGAGAGAGAGAGAGAGAGAGAGAGAGAGAGAGAGAGUUCAGAGCAGAAUCCAUAGCAGUUAGCUUAGCAAUGUCACAAGAAAUAUGUGAGGCUGAUCACUGAUGGUGUGCCUUUGUCUUGUUGCAGGGAUGGAGGAAUAUAUGGAGCUACAGCGAAGGGAUCAACAGCUGUCAACCCCAAAAUUGGUGGUCUCCAUCGGCUGCAACUGCAUGCAUGUCCAUCUUGCACGAUCUGUCCGUACGGAAAAAGGACGCCAUCCGUAUACAUGUAUCUUCCUUUCUCGAUAUGCAUGCCGGCCGAAAAGUAGUAGAGUCGAAAUAAUAGCUUGCUGUAAGGUUUUUAUAGUCUUCUUUUCAGUCUAUCCAUACAAUAGUUAGAUAUUCACUAUUAAUAAAUGACUCAUUUAUCUCUCUCAUAAAAUUUUUUAGUUUCUAUGCUUAAGCUAGCUGUAAACUUACAGCUUCUCCUCUCUCUCCUCCCUUCUUUUCUUUAACUCGGUAUUUAGCUGGCUUAAUUAUAACCCACUAUAAUACUUACUCUAAUGCUUCUUGUUCAUUCUUCAUCCCUUAAUUUAUUUAUUAUCCGACAGAUAUAUGCCAAUAUAAAUAAUGUGUGUUCUCCUAAUUAAGCCUAGUAGUCGGAAAGAUAUUUUUGAGUACAUGUAUCAUGGGCUCACGGUUUGCAUGUUAGGUCUUGUUUGGCUACACUUAGGAUGGAUUUGGUUUUGGAUGAGGUGGUGGGAUGAUAGAGGUUAUGUUUGGUUGAAAGGACGGAGAUGUCUCUACUUUGUGUUUGAUUGGUAACAUAGAGACGAAAAGGACAUAUCUCUGUUUGUGUUCCGUUAGAGACCCAUUAGGUGAGAUCUGCUAGCCUGUUAGUGAGGAUGCCUAUGUCAGGUUGUGGUUAAGCUUACAACGGGGGUCAAGGUUGGCCGCGUGCUAGGGUCACCCGACAAUCCUCACCAGUGCUGCCUUUUUUGGGGUUGAGGUCGACUGCGCAAGUUGGAGUCGUGUGAAUGCAAGAGCAUGGCGUCUACGAGGGACAAGCUCGUACCUUAGUUUCUCAUGGACACCCGAGGACAACAUUUUCGAGAAAUAUUCCCUACCAUGACAAUCCCAUCCCACUUGUCUCCCAACCAAACAACAAAACUAAGUGGGAUAUCCGACUCCGUUCCUGUCCCAUCCCUCGACCAAACACAAUCUUGUUUGUACCGCAAUCCACAUGUAUUGGAGUAUAUUGAGGUGGAAACUAAACUAAAUUCUACUCCAAAAUCCACCCAACACAUGUAUGUAGCCUUUCAAAAAAAACAUGUAGGUCGUAUCUAUAGAUGUAGCUACAACUUGUAAUAGGUGUAUAUACAUUAGAGUGCUAGGUUCUUCUUUUAUUUUAUUUAGACUUUAUGGUUUUAUGCAGAGGUCAGAAAAUGAAUUAGUGAAUUAAUAAAUGAGUAUAAAAGAAUUAUAACUUCUUCCAAUUGAAACAUGGAAAUCAUGCAAGACCUUUACAUGUCACAAACACCUACUCCAUCUAUCUCAUAAAAAAGGUCAUUCACACUUUCCAAAUAAUCAAUUAUAUUUAACUUUGACUAAAUAUAUAUAACAAAAAUAUUAAUAUAUAUGGUACAUAAUUAGUACCAUUAAAUAUGUUUUUAUAAUAAAUUUAUUUAGAUAUGUAAAUACUGAUAAUAUUUUCUACGAAAUUAAUUAAAUUUAAAAAAAAGUUUAACUAGCACGAGUCUCAUACGUACCGACUCUUUUUAUAGGAUAGAGGAAGUACGUGGAAUACUUUUUUCUAUCAGACCUGGAUAAACUCCAUGGCCAAGAGUAUUGGAAAGUCAUGAAGGUAUCAAUCAAUACACAUUGAAUAUUUGGAGAGAGCUAUCACUGUUCCCAGGAGAUUCUUUUUGUCGAAUUUGUUCACCUGAAAGGCUACGGUGUUUAACGUGCUUAAACGUCGUUUCAAUCUACACAAUGCAUGGCCGGCCGUCCUCUUUAAAAUGACACAUUAUCCCAAUUAAACGUCCAUUUACUUGAUAAUUUGAUAAAUUGUAGUCUCUCCGUUCCAAUUUAUAGGUUAUUUUGGCUCUUUUUUUACACAAUUUUUUUAACGUACAUAGACAUAUCAUAUAUAUAUAUAUAUAUAUAUAUAUAUAUAUAUAUAUAUAUAUAUAUAUAUAUAUAUAUAUAUAUAUAUAUAUAUAUAUAUAUAUAUAUAUAUAUAUAUAUAUAUAUAUAUAUAUAUAUAUAUAUAUAUAUAUAUAUAUAUAUAUAUAUAUAUAUAUAUAUAUAUAUAUAUAUAUAUAUAUAUAUAAUUUGGAAGGUACGUACCAACCGUGGUAAAUUCCAUGUUACAACAUGAUGCUCGAUGCCUGUGUGUCUCGGUGACGACCAGCCCCUUGCUCUGUUAUGCUUCUGCCAAGUUAAGUUGCACAUGCUUUAGUUUGACCCUACCCCUUUACUUUCAAAAAGAAACAUUGCGUGUAUAUAUGCUUUAUAUUUCAAAUAUACUCCUACAUAGGAAUUGAACAUGGAAAACAUGAAAGGCCCUUAAAUACACGUCACAAGCACCUACUCCAACCAGCAGGAUAAACUCGACGACCAAGAGUCAGAGGGACCGAUCAAUAUAACCUACGUGCAUUGAAUAAUGGGAGAGCUGUCACCGUGUUAGCUAGAAGGUUCUUCCUAUAUUGAAUCCUGAGUCUUUUUCAGUAUGCAUGUAGGGAGAGAAUAAAGGAGUACUAUCAUCCUUCUGUCAGAAAUAUGUAACUCUACUGAAAUCUCUUUUAAGUCAAACAAUUAUAACUUUAACCAGCGAUAUCUAACAUUUAUAGAAUAUGACCGCACAUAAUCACUACUGAUAAAUUCAUUAUGAAAAGUGAUAUUAUCAUAUAAUAUAUUUUAAUAUCCAGAUGGAGGGAUGAAAGGUACAUCCUGAGUUCAAACAUAAUACUCCUUCCAUCUGAAAGGAGUGUAACUCUAAAUUAGAUCAAAACUAAACUGUUUUGAACUAGUUUUCAAGGAAAACUAUUAUAAAUUAAUCUAAGUUUAUCUAAAACGGUACCAACAGCUACGAUUCUAAAUAUGUAUACCUAUAUAAAUAUAUCCCAUGAAAAAUCUAACGGAUCCAUGCAUGUUAUCUGAUAUCGUGAGAAUCACUAUAUUUUUAUUAUUACAAAUUUGGAUAAACUGUAGAUAAUUUAUUUGACUUAGAAUUAUAGUCAGAAUUGCACUUUUUGGGCACGGAACACUAGCAUCUUUAUUCCCCACACGUGAAAACUUGUUUUUACAAUAUUCUAUGCAGGUGCUGGAGACGUAAAGACCAAGAGCCGGAAGAGGCCAGGCCACACCUUUUUUGUCAUGUUCAUCAAGGGGCAUCGUUUUCAUCCGCUGAGAGAAGAUUACGAGAGCGAUUGACCGAGAAAACUACUCCACGGGUCACUAGGGACGACAAGGAGCCACAGCUGUUGUUUACCGAGGACGAGGAGAGAUUUGCGCGGAAAAAAGAGGACGACGAGAUUUUUUUUAAAAAAAAUACUCGUAGCUCAUCGAUCGGAUGAUCCAACAUGCGUGUGCUCAAUCUUUCUGCAGCAGCUACUACUGCUGCUCCGGAGAAAUCUCUCUCUCUCUCUCUCUCUGAGAGAGCACAGGUACACAAUAAUAAAGUUAUAGGAAAAAAAAAGAGAAGAAAGAUGAUAACUAGAUAGUGAGAAAGCUAGGCACAGAUACAUAGAUAGUGAGAACCUAAAUAUCAAGUAUUGUGAAAAAGAAUAGAAAAGAGAAAGUAUUUUAGAAAUAAACAUAAGAUAACUUACCGUAUAAUUUAGCACUAAUUAUUUGGCUUAUAGUCAAGCAUUUCGCGACCUUCCUCGGCGCCGCCCUAUACCUGACCGUGACAGAGCCCCUGCAGGUCUCUCUGACACUAGAAUGUCCUAGGAGUAGUACUAGAGUCCUCUUCAUGCAGCAGAUGCAGGUCUCUACUAGUAGCACACAAGAAUCCGACUGAACGGUUGCAGUGUACCA
rnacentral:lncRNA from 1 species